rnacentral:lncRNA from 1 species
AGAGAGUCCUUAAUAAAGUGGCAAAAUCAAAAGCCGAAGACAUAUCAUAUGAAUUGACAAUAACUAAUAAAUUCCUGGGGACAGGCAUUUUCUUAUGUAAAGAAUGGUGGAUUAAACCUGGUUUUAUAGCUAGGUAAUUAUAAACCUCUCACUUGUAAAACAGUCGCAUAAAAUUUCUUUAUAUUGACAAUGAUGUGUGAACAAAACAAACCAACAUACAUGUUAUAAGUAAAAAUGUCAAAAAAAAGGAGUACAGCAGUCAACAUUGUUUUAUCAUCGAUAUCUUAAUCACUAUAAAAACAAACAAAUAUGUAAGCAAACAUUUUCCAUAGCACAAUUACACAAUGGCAGGAUUUAUCAGUAUAGGGCCAUGUCAUAUGUGAGAAAGGAACACAAAAAAGCAUAUAGACAAAGCAUAUUAGCAAAAAUGAAAGAUAAGAAUACAGAAAUAUUUGUUUUCUUUCUAAAACCUAAUUGUUUAUUUUAAGAUUUUUUGUUUUCAAUUGUUAGAACCAGUUCUUCUUGUUGGAAACACAGUCUUUAGUCUUGUAGCAACGACCAUACAUUUAGUUAUAUCAUAAUAUAUGAACAUGAUAUUUU